rnacentral:rRNA from 3 species
UACGAAGGGUGCAAGCGUUGUUCGGAAUCAUUGGGCGUAAAGCGAGCGCAGGCGGAUCAGUAAGUCAGGUGUGAAAUCUCGAGGCUCAACCUCGAAAUUGCGCCUGAAACUACUAGUCUAGAAUGUCGGAGGGGAUAGGGGAAUUUCACGUGUAGGGGUAAAAUCCGUAGAGAUGUGAAGGAACACCGGAGGCGAAGGCGCCUAUCUGGACGACUAUUGACGCUGAGGCUCGAAAGCGUGGGGAGCAAACAGG